rnacentral:rRNA from 1 species
CCUUUAGGUAGAGUCUGACGGAGCACGCCGCGUGAGUGAUGAAGGCUUUCGGGUCGUAAAACUCUGUUGUUAGGGAAGAACAAGUGCUAGUUGAAUAAGCUGGCACCUUGACGGUACCUAACCAGAAAGCCACGGCUAACUACGUGCCAGCAGCCGCGGUAAUACGUAGGUGGCAAGCGUUAUCCGGAAUUAUUGGGCGUAAAGCGCGCGCAGGUGGUUUCUUAAGUCUGAUGUGAAAGCCCACGGCUCAACCGUGGAGGGUCAUUGGAAACUGGGAGACUUGAGUGCAGAAGAGGAAAGUGGAAUUCCAUGUGUAGCGGUGAAAUGCGUAGAGAUAUGGAGGAACACCAGUGGCGAAGGCGACUUUCUGGUCUGUAACUGACACUGAGGCGCGAAAGCGUGGGGAGCAAACAGGAUUAGAUACCCUGGUAGUCCACGCCGUAAACGAUGAGUGCUAAGUGUUAGAGGGUUUCCGCCCUUUAGUGCUGAAGUUAACGCAUUAAGCACUC